AGAAUUGCACAUACACAGAAGUAAAACAUAAUUGAGAGCAAAAGAGCAAGUAUGUUUUGCAAGAAAUAUAUGUGAGAUAUAAGUGUGCACACCUGAAGCUACUUGAAUGAGAUAGAAGAACUAGUUCCAUUGUGUUUAUUCAUAUUCUAGUUCAAUUGUAGUAGGUGUUUCAUAUUGUAAAUUUUAGCUUUUUUAGAAGCAAUUGUAUUAGGUACUUUGAGUAUUCAAUUUAGAGUUAACUUGAAGAUGUCGCAACAUUUGAGGCUAUGUGCCAC
rnacentral:lncRNA from 1 species